rnacentral:rRNA from 1 species
GACGAACGCUGGCGGCGUGCCUAAUACAUGCAAGUAGGACGCAGUUGCGAACGCGUGAGUAACGCGUAGGUAACUGCCUAUUAGAGGGGGAUAACUAUUGGAAACGAUAGCUAAUACCGCAUACUAGUAGCUGGACCUGCGUUGUAUUAGCUAGUAGGUCGGGUAAUGGCCUACCUAGUCAACGGUACAUAGCCGACCUUGAGGGGUGAUCGGCCACAAUGGGACGGAGACACGGCCCAGACUCCUACGGGAGGCAGCAGUAGGGAAUCUUCGGAAAUGGGGGGAACCCUGAACGAGCAACGCCGCGGGAGUGAAGAAGGGUUUCGGAUCGGAAAGCUCUGUUGUUAAGGAAGCGGUACUUAACCAGAAAGGGACGGCUAACUACGUGCCAGCAGCCGCGGUAAUUC